GGGUGGAGCAGUGGGCAGAGAUUAUUUAAAUCCUUCCUGCUCCUCACAGGCAUUGUACGUAUUUAAUCUCUGAAGUGACCACAGCAGCACACAGGACCUGUUCCAGUGCAAGGCCAGUCUGUGCAGGGGAGUGUUUCUGUUGUGGGCUACAGGGAGCACUUCAACCAGGCUCAGCAUUUCCUGUGUUGUCAGGGAACACAUUCAGAGCUCAACUUUGACACCAGAAGUUUCCUCCCGGAGCUGGAGGGGACAAGGAUCCUAGUUAAUGCUGAAUCUCCAGCCCCAGUGAUGACUGGAUGCUGAUGCUUCUUCUGGGGACCUGCGUCUACUUAUUGUUAUCAACUACCAUUUACCCCUGCCUAGAUGCACCCCAAAUUAGUAAAUUUUGGGAAUGAA